UGAGAGUGCAAAUGAUACUUGUUGUAUCUCCAAAUGCUUUAAAAUACAGAUAAGGACGAAUCUAGCCCAGGACUUCCACAGUUUGAUCUAUCCUGAGGGACUGCUGCCCAGCCUUGGAAUAGGCCUCUCCAAUCUAAAAGUUAUCACCGUUGCACCACUCACACAGACAGACCACAGCUCUCUCCAGGGAACCAUACGAGCUUCCCAAGAAUCAAAGGAAACCCAAUGAUUGUCAUAGUCUAAGAGACACACCAAUCCCAGGGAAGUGCUCAAAUAUUCUCAGCCAGAAUGCACAGUGGAGAGAGAGCCAUGGGAACAAGAGGAAAGAUUCUCUUUGCAGUGUUCAUGUUAUGACUACUAAGAAAAUAUCUGCAGUAUCAAAUGUGAUUCAUCUGAGGCAUGCUAACAUCACCACCUGCUACUUGUAACUCUGUUGGUGCCAAUCAUAGGCUGCAACGAGCUUCCAGGUGUGAAAGAAGUGGUGACAACUGAGAACUGUCUGCAGGCCAUAAACUGAUGGUUGGAGAGAUCAAGAGAGAAUCCUGUCUCACGUGCAAGUACAAGAACAACAGUAUAUACCUGGCUAAGUGCACAGCAAGAUUCACUGUCAGAACGUCAAUCUCAAAUUGUUGGCUGUGUCUCAAGGCAGGAAGCUAGGCUGGAUGGACUCUGACAGGAAAUUAGGCAAAACUACUGCUGGUAACAACAGCCCACAGAUUUUACAGCUUUCCUAAACAAGGAUAUUGAGGAAGAGAUACAAAAUUUGGCAAAAGAAAUGAUUUUCUGACAAUUGUUUUCCCACCUCAUACAAGCACAAUUCAACCCUUUUAAAAAAAUUAUGUUGCCUGAUUUCAUUUCCCAUAAGAAAGGGCUCUCAAGGGUCACUUCUUUUGACUUUUUCCAGUAAUAUUUGCACAUACAAGAAAAUCCCAGGAUAAUACAGUCCAGACUGAUAACACACGUUCUACAGUUACACUGGAUUCAUUUUCUCUGAAAAAAAAAAUCACAUUUUCUAUAACUUGUUUCACAAUUUGGCAUUUAAAUUCAGCAGAGUGGAGCUGUGAGAAGCCAAAUUCUUGGAUGAAUUAUACUGAAUUCAUAGGGGUUUCUCAAUAUAUUAUUGUGUAGAGAACUAGGCUGUUGCCAUGAUUUUCAAAACCCUAUAUGCCUGAAAUAGUGCUACGCUUUUAUGCAGUUACUCUAUAGGCUCUGUGUAGAGUUAGGAUCUAAAAUGCUGAAAAAAGGUACCGCAAUCUGAGCUGGUGGUACUGUUGUCUAACCUUUCAGACUUGUACCUCAAACUCCUGACUGGGUUGUGUUUUCAUUGGAACUAUUGUCAAUUUUCAUGUUGUAUAUAUAUAUAUAUAUAUAUAUAUAUAUAACAAGAACAAAGAAACAAACAAACUAAAAACCACAAAUGGGAUUAUCAGGGACUAGGAAGUGAAAAUCACACAAAUCACACACUGGGAAAUUAGGAUUUAGUGUUAGAAGUGGGAUGAGACCCUGAAUGCAUUUCAUUCUGUCAAGCCUCCCAUGAAAAAAGACUCAAGUAUUUAUGAUAUCUUGACUCUAUUUUUUCAGUAUCCUGGUGGUAAAUGUGGUUUAUCAAGGGAAAAACACUGACGUGGCACAGUAACUUAUCUUUCUGUAACUUAGUUAUCAGAAGUUUAUACUAUGCAAAAAUUUGCAAGAGGAACAAUGACUGGAACUUCCCAGGAAGUCUAUAUGCCAGAGAAGAGCCGUUUGACAGGCUGGCAUGUACCUGCACACUGUGUAUUUCUCACUGAGGGAGGUGGUUUUUUUUUGUUUUG